rnacentral:rRNA from 1 species
CUACGGGGUGCUCCAGCUAAGAAUCUUCCGCAAUGGACGAAAGUCUGACGGAGCGACGCCGCGUGAACGAUGAAGGCCGUGAGGUUGUAAAGUUCUUUUCCGAGGGGAGAAUAAGGAUGGCAGGGAAUGGCCGUCUGAUGACGUGAACUCGGGAAUAAGCCCCGGCUAACUACGUGCCAGCAGCCGCGGUAACACGUAGGGGGCGAGCGUUGUUCGGAAUCAUUGGGCGUAAAGGGUGCGCAGGCGGUUAUGCAAGUCUGGUGUGAAAGGUCUCGGCUCAACCGAGGAAACGCGCUGGAAACUGUGUAACUAGAGUACAGGAGGGGGAGUUGGAAUUCCAGGUGUAGGGGUGAAAUCUGUAGAUAUCUGGAAGAACACCGGUGGCGAAGGCGAACUUCUGGCCAUGUACUGACGCUGAGGCACGAAGGCGUGGGGAGCAAACAGGAUUAGAUACCCUGGUAGUC